UAGGCUCAGACAGCUGCUCUGAAAAGUUCUUAUGUAACAGUUAUUUCUACAAUGUUGUUAGAUAUGUGCAAAAUACCAACGUUAUUGAAGAUCGACUGGCAUAUAUGGCCCGGAAACCCGCUGAGCUACAGUGAAGCUGCAGAAAGUCCACUGCUGACAAAGGAGGAAUUAAUGGAGCAGUGCUGAGUGACAGUCCACCCAGUUGUGAAUGAGUUCCAAACAGGGAUGGAAAAGCAACCUGCGAUGGACUGGCGUCCCAUCCAUCGGAAGUUGGAGACUCUCAUCUGUUUCACGCGACAGUAUCCGGUGAUAACCUCUGGCAUAAUGGGCUACACGGUCCUGCGAAAUUUGGAUCAUCAUCAUCAUCAUUGUCAUCGUCUUCCUCAUCUUC